UGCCUUCUUUCCCUUCCACAAAAAAUCAGAUUCUGAACGUGAAUAAGGGAAAGAAAGGCUAAAAUCUGAAAAGGGUGUCCCUUAAAUUCAACAGCAAGCCUACAUAUGUAGUAAAUUUUGAAGGUGAUGGAUCAAUGUGGACCUGAAAAGGAAAAAUUAAUGUAACAUCAGAAUUUGAUGAGAAAAAGGUGAGAAAACAUUGGAGGUAAAUAACGUAAAAAUUAAGGAGGGAAAGGUACGAGAAUGUGAAAGAGGAGGAGGAGGGUGGAGAAUCCCUUGAAACAUGGAAAAAUGUUGAAGUGUUUAUGUUGGAUAUGUAUGUAUGUAUGAUCUAUGAGGAGAGAAUGUGAUGUUAAAAAAUUAUGUUAAUGGUGGUGUGGGAGGAAACAUGGAUUGCAAUGAGGAGGAAAGGAAAAUUGCAGGUUGAUGUAACGGUUUGUGAGGGACCCAUUUCCCUCCUCUUCCUCUUCCUAUACAAUCUUCUAUUUAUCCCAUUUAUUCAUUC
rnacentral:lncRNA from 1 species